UGCCACAGUCACAUCAUUCUACAGCCAAAGACCGGUUACUCACUGAAGCUAAGCAGGGCUGAGCCUGGUCAGUACCUGGAUGGGAGACCACAUGAGAAAACUAGGUUGCUGUUGGAA
rnacentral:rRNA from 1 species